GAUGAACGCUAGCGGCAGGCCUAAUACAUGCAAGUCGAACGAGAUUAUCCAGCUUGCUGGAUAUGAGAGUGGCGCACGGGUGCGUAACGCGUAUGCAACCUACCUUAAUCAGGGGGAUAGCCCGAAGAAAUUCGGAUUAACACCGCAAUAAAAAACCACAGGAUAGCAUUAUCCAAUGUUCAAAUAUUUAUAGGAUUAAG
rnacentral:rRNA from 1 species